GCCUAACACAUGCAAGUCGAACGCUCCGCAAGGGGAGUGGCGCACGGGUGAGUAACACGUGGGAACCUACCUUCUGGUACGGAACAACCAAGGGAAACUUUGGCUAAUACCGUAUACGACCUCCGGGUGAAAGAUUUAUCGCCGGAAGAGGGGCCCGCGUCCGAUUAGGUAGUUGGUGAGGUAACGGCUCACCAAGCCGACGAUCGGUAGCUGGUCUGAGAGGAUGACCAGCCACACUGGGACUGAGACACGGCCCAGACUCCUACGGGAGGCAGCAGUGGGGAAUAUUGGACAAUGGGCGCAAGCCUGAUCCAGCCAUGCCGCGUGAGUGAUGAAGGCCUUC
rnacentral:rRNA from 1 species